GGGGAAUAUUGGACAAUGGGGGCAACCCUGAUCCAGCCAUGCCGCGUGAGUGAUGAAGGCCCUAGGGUUGUAAAGCUCUUUCACCGGUGAAGAUAAUGACGGUAACCGGAGAAGAAGCCCCGGCUAACUUCGUGCCAGCAGCCGCGGUAAUACGAAGGGGGCUAGCGUUGUUCGGAAUUACUGGGCGUAAAGCGCUCGUAGGCGGAUAUUUAAGUCGGGGGUGAAAUCCCAGGGCUCAACCCUGGAACUGCCUUCGAUACUGGAUAUCUAGAGGUCGAGAGAGGUAAGCGGAAUUCCGAGUGUAGAGGUGAAAUUCGUAGAUAUUCGGAAGAACACCAGUGGCGAAGGCGGCUUACUGGCUCGAUACUGACGCUGAGGAGCGAAAGCGUGGGGAGCAAAC
rnacentral:rRNA from 1 species